rnacentral:sRNA from 1 species
GCCGAUGAACGAGUCGGUCGAGGGAGAGGGCGACCUACGGACCGCCAAGUACUUGGCCGUCCUCUCCCAGCACGA